rnacentral:rRNA from 1 species
AGAGUUUGAUCCUGGCUCAGGAUAAGGGGCGUGCCUAAUACAUGCAAGUCGAGCGAGCGGAACCAACAGAUUUACUUCGGUAAUGACGUUGGGAAAGCGAGCGGCGGAUGGGUGAGUAACACGUGGGGAACCUGCCCCUAAGUCUGGGAUACCAUUUGGAAACAGGUGCUAAUACCGGAUAAUAAAGCGGAUCGCAUGAUCAGCUUUUGAAAGGCGGCGUAAGCUGUCGCUAAGGGAUGGCCCCGCGGUGCAUUAGCUAGUUGGUAAGGUAACGGCUUACCAAGGCGACAUGCAUAGCCGAGUUGAGAGACUGAUCGGCCACAUUGGGACUGAGACACGGCCCAAACUCCUACGGGAGGCAGCAGUAGGGAAUCUUCCACAAUGGACGCAAGUCUGAUGGAGCAACGCCGCGUGAGUGGAGAAGGUUUUCGGAUCGUAAAGCUCUGUUGUUGGUGAAGAAGGAUAGAGGUAGUAACUGGCCUUUAUUUGACGGUAAUCAACCAGAAAGUCACGGCUAACUACGUGCCAGCACCGCGGUAAUACGUAGGUGGCAAGCGUUGUCCGGAUUUAUUGGGCGUAAAGCGAGCGCAGGCGGAAAAAUAAGUCUAAUGUGAAAGCCCUCGGCUUAACCGAGGAACUGCAUCGGAAACUGUUUUCCUUGAGUGCAGAGAGGAGAGUGGAAACUCCAUGUGUAGCGGUGGAAUCGUAAAUAUAUGGGAAAACACCAGUGGAAGGGAGGCCUCUCUGUCUGAAACUGAGCUGAGGCUUCGAAAGAUGGGGAAACA